AGUGAACGCUGGCGGUAGGCCUAACACAUGCAAGUCGAACGGCAGCACAGUAAGAGCUUGCUCUUACGGGUGGCGAGUGGCGGACGGGUGAGGAAUACAUCGGAAUCUACUUUUUCGUGGGGGAUAAUGUAGGGAAACUUACGCUAAUACCGCAUACGACCUACGGGUGAAAGCAGGGGAUCUUCGGACCUUGCGCGAUUGAAUGAGCCGAUGUCGGAUUAGCUAGUUGGCGGGGUAAAGGCCCACCAAGGCGACGAUCCGUAGCUGGUCUGAGAGGAUGAUCAGCCACACUGGAACUGAGACACGGUCCAGACUCCUACGGGAGGCGGCAGUGGGGAAUAUUGGACAAUGGGCGCAAGCCUGAUCCAGCCAUACCGCGUGAGUGAAGAAGGCCUUCGGGUUGUAAAGCCCUUUUGUUGGGAAAGAAAAGCAGCAGGUUAAUACCCCGCUGUUCUGACGGUACCCAAAGAAUAAGCACCGGCUAACUUCGUG
rnacentral:rRNA from 1 species